GCGCUGCAGGGCGGCCGUGGCCUGUACUGAUGGGGCCGCCACCUCCACCUCCAGUGACGGGAACAGGGGGGGUUGGUAACCCAGAGAGCACAUGAAGGGGGACAUACCAGUGGCAGCGGACACCUGGGAAUUAUGGGGGUAUUCAAUCCAGGGGAUGUGGGAGCUCCAAGAGGCAGGGCUUCUGUACACCACAGACCUGAGUGCCGCCCCCAGGUCCUGGUUGACUCGCUCGGUCUGCCCGUUGGCCUGGGGGUGGCGCCGAAGGCGCGGCAGAAGGCCCUCCAGACCUGGGAUGUAAACUGGGGGCCCCGGUCGGAGACGAUGUCCAGCGGGAUGCCGUGCAGGCGGAAGACAUGGUCGAUGAGUAGGCGGGCAGUUUCCAAGGAGGUGCCCUUUGGGUGGGAAACCGGUGACUCGCGGGGAAAGUACGCGCCGAUGGAGGCGCUCGGUGUAAAGUCAGCAGAGAGAGUGAGGCGGAGAUUGAGAGGGGGACAGCGGUUGCGCGGAGCAGGGUUCGGGCAGCCCGACAACUUGUUUUAACUGCAAGCAUUUCACCAACUUGAAGUUCUUCAGCUGCAGAAAUGAAUGCAGCAUCAUUAUAUCAUGAUGAACCUCACAUAAUACCUUAAAAGGCGAUGACAGUUUUCCUCAUGUGUAAGAAAAAUUAUUUCAUGGACAAAAUAAUCAAAGCAUGUACUCAAACAAGCAGAGAAGAUAUGAAAUUGGUGACAAUAAAAAGAACUGAGGAAUGAAAAACUGAGUGGAAAAACAGUAACAUCUGCAGUAGUUACCUGUUUUCCGACAGAGGUGAUAAACCAAGAGAGAGGAGAGGAGAGAGGAGAGAACAGCAAACGCUGGACACAAAGAGAACAGCAGCAUCCAGCAUACACCACAGUCUUGUGGAGUGCCAUGAUGAUACGGCUCAUUGGUGUCUGGUAAAAAAACAACAACAAAAGAAAAACAGAAAUUUUUGUCAAUUAGCUUUGUGAUUCUGAUUUCAACAUUUUUGAUGUAUUACAUCUCCUAUAAUUUAACUAAACCCAUAUUUCCACAAAUACAUACAGGCUGAUCUCAAAAUAAGAAUUACAAAGAUAUUGUUGGGUUUUUAUUGUGAUCCAGUAUGUCAACACCAAUGUUUUAUGUUUCUGGCUCAGUUUCAACUUUCCAGGUUUACAGACCUUUGACAACAUUAAGAUUCUAGUAAACAAAUGGGAAUAAUCAAACAUCCUCAUUUAAAUAAUGUCUCUAGUUUGCUAGUGUUUUAACUUCAAAAUAAGGUGCAUGAGAACCAUUUUCCCCACAUAUACGAGUUUUCUGAAAACUUAAAUUAGAUGUUAUUCCAAACCUACCAUGCAAAAAAUAAGCGAGUGAAAUGUGCAAUGUUAUCCUCCUGAUGAUUGGUCUACUUCAACAUUAUAAUACCAGCAGAACAUUCCUACUGUAUGACCACCCAAUUGUAUCGUUAGAUUCACUGCAUUGGAAACUAAUUCUCAAAUAGAACUUAAUCAGAAUACUUACUGACUAGGAUUCUUAUUGUGUCGUGGCCAUAUCUGUAAACAUAUCUGGGAGUAAUGUAUCCUUUUCCCUCCAACGUGUGUUUUUCAGUUCCGCAGUAGUAGAGGCCCCCAUCAGAAUCAGUGAUGUUCAUGAUCAGCAGGUCAUAGGAUUCAGACGACUGGUUUUUCACCAAAUGAAAACGAGGGAAGGGAUUCAAAAUGUCUUCACUGUAACUGUUUUCCAACAGUUCCUCAUGCGGGUAUCUUGUUCCCAUAAUAAGUGAAGGCUGGUUCACAUGAGAGCAGUUUCUGUACCACACUAUGUAUACUCCAGUUGAUGUUUUGCAGUCGCAGUAAAUAGUGAUGUUGUCACCUGGUCUGACUGUCAUUUCCAGCACUGAUCCAGAGGUCCAAUCAUGACUGAAAGAAACGACUCCUGAAAUACAAAGUCACAAAAGAAAGUUAAAAAGUUUCCAAUCUUACAGUAUUUUAGCUCACAACAAAUGGAGGUUACUACAAGGGAAAUCUAACAAUUUAAUUUUAAUCUUAAAAAACGUUACCAAAGGAAAUCCCUGAGAGAACGAUGAUAAAAAUGUGCAACCUAUCCAUGUGCGACCUGGUGUUGAAAGACAGUCAAACCGCUGUUACUCUUUAUUUAUGACAUGCGCAGAAUUUUCCUUUAAAGGAAAUGUAAGUUGUGAUUGGCUUCGUUGAAUGGAACAAUUUCUUCUGUGGUUGUUUUUUGUAAGCGCGAUACUACGCUGUGUUUUAUGCAGAGAUGUAAAGACAACACUUUGUCUUCUGUGAUUUGUACAGUUAAAUCUCUAGUCGCUACACUUCCAGCUUGACUGAAGACAUGCAAAACCUAUAGUAAUGCAUUUUGUAGGCUAUAUACAGUAUAUUUGGUCCACGUUUAUUUACAGAUAGCUGUGGUCAAGACCCAUUAUGCUUGUAAACAGGAACUAUGAUGUCGCCAUGGAGUCAGUUUGUUAGCUGCGACAACUUGAGCCUGUAUUUGAUUACACUUUGGCAAACUGGCACCAUUGAAAGAAUACUGAAUUAGCUAUCAGCAAUGAAUAUUAUAUAUGAUGAUAAUAUGAUGCAAUAACUGUCACUGAAUAAGAAGACGAAAACUUAAUAAAGUCUUGAUUGUUA